GGCAAAGGAUGUGCGUCCGCCCAGACAACCAGGAUGUUGGCUUAGAAGCAGCCAUCCAUUCAAAGAGUGCGUAACAGCUCACUGGUCGAGUGGACAUGCGCCGACAAUACACGGGGCUAAGCUGGACACCGAAGCGGCGGGAUUUUAAUUCAUUAGAAUCGGUAGGGGAGCUUCCCAUGGGCGGAGAAGCCGGAGGGCGACCGACGGUGGAGCGCAUGGGAGUGAGAAUGCUGGCAUGAGUAGCGAGAGACGAGAGAGUAACUCGUCCGCCGUGAACCCGAGGUUUCCUGGGCAAGGCUAAUCCUCCCAGGGUCAGUCGGGGGCUAAGGCGAGGCCGGUAGGCGUAGCCGACGCGCAGCAGGCAGACAUUCCUGCACCGCGCACGCGGCGCUACGACCGACGGGGCGACGGAUGGGGGUGGCUCGGCGGGGUUCUGGACGUCCCCGUGAUGGAGCGCGGCCCGCGGACCAGGGAAAUCCGGUCCGCAUUGAGGGCGAGGCUCCGGACGAAGCACUUAAGCGAAGCGAGUGAGCCCGAGGUCCCUAGAAAAACCCCUAGGCAGGCGCGUGCGCGCCCGUACCGCAAACCGACACAGGUGGGUGGGUAGAACAUACCGAGGCGAUCGGGUCAACCAUGGUCAAGGAACUCGGCACAAUGGCCCCGUAACUUCGGGAGAAGGGGUGCCCGCGCGUACGUGAACGGACUUGCUCCGGGAGCGGAGGCGGGCCGCAGUGGAGAGGCCCAAGCGACUGUUUACCAAAAACACAGGACUCUGCAGAAGCCGCAAGGCGACGUAUAGGGUCUGACGCCUGCCCGGUGCCGGAAGGUCACGCGGAGGAGUUAGCCAUUUCGGCGAAGCCCCGAAGCCAAGCCCCGGUAAACGGCGGCCGUAACUAUAACGGUCCUAAGGUAGCGAAAUUCCUUGUCGGGUAAGUUCCGACCUGCACGAAAGGCGCAACGACUUGGGCGCUGUCUCGACCAUGGACCCGGUGAAAUUGCACUGGUCGUGAAGAUGCGACUUACCCGCGGAAGGACGGAAAGACCCCGUGAACCUUCACUGCAGCUUGGCAUUGGCCGCUGGUCCCGCGUGUAGAGGAUAGGCAGGAGGCUAAGAUCCGGAGGCGCCAGCCCCCGGGGAGCCGCCCUUGGAAUACUGCCCUCGCGCGACCGGCGUCCUAACCCGAGGCCGUCAACCGGCUCGGGGACCGUGCCAGGCGGGCAGUUUGACUGGGGCGGUCGCCUCCUAAAGGGUAACGGAGGCGCGCGAAGGUCCGCUCGGGACGGUCGGCAACCGUCCUUUUGAAUGCAAGAGUACAAGCGGGCUUGACUGCGAGGCCCACAAGCCGAGCAGGUGCGAAAGCAGGCUCUAGUGAUCCGGCGGCCCCGAGUGGGUGGGCCGUCGCUCAACGGAUAAAAGGUACUCCGGGGAUAACAGGCUGAUCUUGCCCAAGAGUCCACAUCGACGGCAAGGUUUGGCACCUCGAUGUCGGCUCAUCGCAUCCUGGGGCUGUAGCAGGUCCCAAGGGUUGGGCUGUUCGCCCAUUAAAGCGGUACGCGAGCUGGGUUCAGAACGUCGUGAGACAGUUCGGUCCCUAUCCUCCGUGGGCGCAGGAGAAUCGAUGGAGGCUGCCCCCAGUACGAGAGGACCGGGGUGGACGCACCUCCGGUGAACCGGUUGUCGACCAACGGCACGGCCGGGUAGCCGCGUGCGGCGCGGAUAACCGCUGAAGGCAUCUAAGCGGGAAGCCGUUCCAGGGAUUAGUUCUCCUUCCGGUAAGGGCCCAGGUAGACUACCUGGUCGAUAGACGGCAGGUGCAAGGACGGCGACGUCCUCAGCCGAGCCGCACUAAUCGCCCGAGCUCUUCCGGAA
rnacentral:rRNA from 1 species